AGUCAUAUGCUUGUCUCAAAGAUUAAGCCAUGCAUGUCUCAGUACAAGCCAAAUUAAGGUGAAACCGCGAAAGGCUCAUUAAAUCAGUUAUGGUUCCUUAGAUCGUACCCACAUUUACUUGGAUAACUGUGGUAAUUCUAGAGCUAAUACAUGCAAACAGAGCUCCGACCAGAGAUGGAAGGAGUGCUUUUAUUAGAUCAAAACUAAUCGGCGGCAGUUUAGUUUCGGCUCUACUGUUCGUCGCAUUAUAUGGUGACUCUGAAUAACUUUUUGCUGAUCGCACGGUCUUGCACCGGCGACGUAUCUUUCAAAUGUCUGCCUUAUCAACUGUCGAUGGUAGGUUCUGCGCCUACCAUGGUUGUAACGGGUAACGGGGAAUCAGGGUUCGAUUCCGGAGAGGGAGCCUGAGAAACGGCUACCACAUCCAAGGAAGGCAGCAGGCGCGCAAAUUACCCACUCCCGGCACGGGGAGGUAGUGACGAAAAAUAACGAUACGGGACUCAUCCGAGGCCCCGUAAUCNGAAUGAGUACACUUUAAAUCCUUUAACAAUUAACAAUUGGAGGGAAAGUCUGGUGCC
rnacentral:rRNA from 1 species